UUAAAUAUUAAACUGGGGGCAGGACAGGAAAAGGAUUUAUUCAUGUCACUUACUGUCAAGAAAAAAAAAAAUGUUUACUGGGCUAAAAUAACAUGGAGUAAGAAAAAAAAAUGAAGUAUUAAGAAAGAGAAAACACGCAGAGGAGAGGAGAGUGUGGGAACAUCAGCUCUGCACGAGGGACUUGGACGUGCCCAGGUGGAUGCUGAGAUGAGACAUGAGCUCUUCCAGCAGAUAUUAACAGGGAAAGCAGAGCAGGAAAGAAAGGGGAAGCACACUGCUUGGCUCAGUGUUUGAGCACUGUUUUUUGGGCAGAGCUGAGAACACACUUUUUUGUUUAAAGCAGAGUUGGGAGGGCUUGCACCAAACCCCAUCACAAACUCAACAGGUUGCCCAGCAGCACCCCCUGACCACAUUCUCAAAGGAUCUUCAGAGAGAGGGAAAAAAAGGUAUCAGAAGCAAGGCUGCAAGAUGCUCCUCCUGCCAGAGAAAGGUCAGGGGGUGCCAGAGGCCUGAGAGAUAACAGCAAAAAUUCAAUGUACCAGGAAAAACAAAGACUUUGAAGCAUGACUGAAACAGCCUGCAGCUCUGUCACAGCAGCAUGAACCCUUUACAACAGGGCACAGAAAGGGCUUGAGCAACCUGGCAAAAGUCCAUCAAGGACUAUUAAAUAUAAAGUUACAGAUUAACUUCCAGCUCAGGAAGCCCUGAAGCUGCAAAAACGCCCCAGACUGGGAGGGAGCAAGAGAACAAAAUCAGGAUGAGGGUCAGAAGAAAACGAACCCAGCUGGUGCUCAACGUGCUUGGCCAUGGCAGUCUCCUGAUCCAGAGGUGGCCAAACUCAGGAGAGCAAGGAGAGCACCAAGAAGCUCGGGGAAGCAGAGCCAGCCGUGCCUCAACCCUCAUCCCAGCAGCAGGAUGGCAUUCCAGCUCCACCUGCAGGAAUUUCUGCGGCUGGGAAAGCCUUGAAGCAGCCAGCAGGAGAUUUACCAGGCAGAGCACGGCGCUGCUGCAGAGUGGGAGCCCGAGUGCCUGGAGAUGAACAUUCCGUGAUCCCAUCAAGCUCUCAUUCUCCAGCUGCCACUCACAGCGGCACUCCUGGAUGCACUAAUCUAGUGCCAUUAUCAUUCUCUAAAGGCAAGAAGCACUUUUA